rnacentral:rRNA from 1 species
AUUGAACGCUGGCGGCAGGCCUAACACAUGCAAGUCGAGCGAGCGGCGGACGGGUGAGUAAUGUAUGGGGAACUGCCCGAUGGAGGGGGAUAACUACUGGAAACGGUGGCUAAUACCGCAUACUAUCAGAUGAACCCAUAUGGGAUUAGCUAGUAGGUGGGGUAAUGGCUUACCUAGGCGACGAUCCCUAGCUGGUCUGAGAGGAUGACCAGCCACACUGGAACUGAGACACGGUCCAGACGCCUACGGGAGGCAGCAGUGGGGAAUAUUGCACAAGGGGCGCAAGCCUGAUGCAGCCAUGCCGCGUGUGUGAAGAAGGCCCUAGGGUUGUAAAGUACUUUCAGUCGGGAGGCGUUACCCACAGAAGAAGCACCGGCUAACUCCGUGCCAGCAGCCGCGGUAAUAC